rnacentral:rRNA from 1 species
CCUACGGGAGGCAGCAGUGGGGAAUUUUGGACAAUGGGCGAAAGCCUGAUCCAGCAAUGCCGCGUGCAGGAAGAAGGCCUUCGGGUUGUAAACUGCUUUUGUACGGAACGAAACGGUGCUCUUUAAUAAAGAGUGCUAAUGACGGUACCGUAAGAAUAAGCACCGGCUAACUACGUGCCAGCAGCCGCGGUAAUACGUAGGGUGCGAGCGUUAAUCGGAAUUACUGGGCGUAAAGCGUGCGCAGGCGGUUAUAUAAGACAGUUGUGAAAUCCCUGGGCUCAACCUAGGAAUUGCAUCUGUGACUGUAUAGCUAGAGUACGGUAGAGGGGGAUGGAAUUCCGCGUGUAGCAGUGAAAUGCGUAGAUAUGCGGAGGAACACCGAUGGCGAAGGCAAUCCCCUGGACCUGUACUGACGCUCAUGCACGAAAGCGUGGGGAGCAAACAGGAUUAGAUACCCUGGUAGUCCACGACCUAACGAUGUCACUAGUGUUGGUGNNUAUACUCAGUAGAGACACGCGNGAGUAGACGCGNGGNGACGCGCGAGUAGAGACGAAGAGUAGACGCGNGAGAGAGAGAGACGACGACGAGGGAGGAGG